rnacentral:rRNA from 1 species
GAUGAACGCUGGCGGUCUGCUUAACACAUGCAAGUCGAACGAACUCUUCGGAGUGAGUGGCGGACGGGUGAGUAACGCGUGAGAAUCUGCCUGUGGGUCGGGGACAACCACUGGAAACGGUGGCUAAUACCGGAUGAGCCGAAAGGUAAAAAAUUUAUUGCCCACAGAUGAGCUCGCGUCUGAUUAGCUAGUUGGUAAGGUAAAAGCGUACCAAGGCGACGAUCAGUAGCUGGUCUGAGAGGAUGAGCAGCCACACUGGGACUGAGACACAGCCCAGACUCCUACGGGAGGCAGCAGUGGGGAAUUUUCCGCAAUGGGCGAAAGCCUGACGGAGCAAGACCGCGUGGGGGAGGAAGGUUUUUGGAUCGUAAACCCCUUUUGUCAAGGAAGAAGUUCUGACGGUACUUGACGAAUAAGCCUCGGCUAACUCCGUGCCAGCAGCCGCGGUAAUACGGAGGAGGCAAGCGUUAUCCGGAAUGAUUGGGCGUAAAGCGUCUGUAGGUGGCCAGCUAAGUCUGCUGUUAAAGAUCACAGCUCA